AACUUCCCAAAUCCGUGCUGAGAUUUCGUCAGACACCAAUCCAUUAGGGCUGAUCAGACUUCCAGGAUAAGUGAAGUU
rfam:Schistosoma mattheei strain Denwood, Zambia genome assembly, scaffold: SMTD_scaffold0000641